rnacentral:tRNA from 1 species
GGACGUUUGGUCUAGUGGUAUGAUUCUUGCUUUGGGUGCGAGAGGUCGUGAGUUCAAUUCUCACGACACCCC